rnacentral:rRNA from 1 species
AUCAACUUUCGAUGGUAGGAUAGAGGCCUACCAUGGUAGUAACGGGUAACGGGGUGUUAGGGCACGACACCGGAGAGGGAGCCUGAGAAACGGCUACCACAUCCAAGGACGGCAGCAGGCGCGCAAAUUACCCAAUCCCGACACGGGGAGGUAGUGACAAUAAAUAACAAUACGGGGUCCUUACGGGUCUCGUAAUUGGAAUGAGUACAAUUAAAUCUCUUAACGAGGAACAAUUGGAGGGCAAGUCUGGUGCCAGCAGCCGCGGUAAUUCCAGCUCCAAUAGCGUAUAUUAAAGUUGUUGCAGUUAAAAAGCUCGUAGUUGAAUUUCGGGAUCAAUUUAUCGGUCGUGCCAAUGGUAUGAACUGGUACAAUUGGUUUCUCCCUUCUGAUGAAGCUCGAUGUCAUUAACUUGGUGUCGUGGGGAAUCAGGACUGUUACUUUGAAAAAAUUAGAGUGUUUAAAGCAGGCCUUGGCUUGAAUACAUCAGCAUGGAAUAAUGAAAUAGGACGUUUGAUCCUAUUUCGUUGGUUUCUAGGAUCGACGUAAUGAUUAAUAGGGAUAGUUGGGGGCAUUAGUAUUCAAUUGUCAGAGGUGAAAUUCUUGGAUUUAUUGAAGACUAACUACUGCGAAAGCAUUUGCCAAGGAUGUUUUCAUUAAUCAAGAACGAAAGUUAGGGGAUCGAAGACAAUCAGAUACCGUCGUAGUCUUAACCAUAAACUAUGCCGACUAGGGAUCGGAUGAUGUUAAUUUUUUAAUGACUCAUUCGGCGCCUUACGGGAAACCAAAGUGUUUGGGUUC